UCUCCCUGGCAAGGGCAAAGAGAUACCUUGUUGUUGGUGUUGCUCUUGUGUUACCCAGGGACAUAGCAGAUGGCAGCCCUUUGUUCAUCCUAGCUUGAUGCCUGGGUUUGGUGGCCAAAGCUGUUUUAUGCCUAGGACUCAUAG